GAUACUACCUCUGUUGUAUGAACGUUCUAACUCUGAUCAGUUAUCCUGAUCGAAGACAGUGUCUGGCAGGCAGUUUGACUGGGGCGGUCGCCUCCUAAAAGAUAACGGAGGCGCUCAAAGGUUUGCUCAGAAUGGUUGGAAAUCAUUCGUAGCGUGUAAAGGCAUAAGCAAGCUUGACUGUGAGACUGACAAGUCGAGCAGGUACGAAAGUAGGACUUAGUGAUCCGGUGGUUCCGUAUGGAAGGGCCAUCGCUCAACGGACAAAAGCUACCCCGGGGAUAACAGGCUCAUCUCCCCCAAGAGUCCACAUCGACGGGGAGGUUUGGCACCUCGAUGUCGGCUCAUCGCAUCCUGGGGCUGUAGUCGGUCCCAAGGGUUGGGCUGUUCGCCCAUUAAAGCGGUACGCGAGCUGGGUUCAGAACGUCGUGAGACAGUUCGGUCCCUAUCCGUCGUGGGCGCAGGAAAUUUGAGAGGAUCUGUCCUUAGUACGAGAGGACCGGGAUGGACAUACCUCUGGUGUACCAGUUGUUCUGCCAAGAGCACCGCUGGGUAGCUACGUAUGGAUUAGAUAAUCGCUGAAAGCAUCUAAGUGAGAAACUAACCUCGAGAUGAGAUUUCCCAUUCGUCAGAAGUAAGACCCCUGAGAGACGAUCAGGUAGAUAGGCUAGAAGUGGAAGUGUAGUGAUGCAUGGAGCGGACUAGUACUAAUAGGUCGAGGACUUAACCAAG
rnacentral:rRNA from 1 species